rnacentral:rRNA from 1 species
CACGUAGGGUGCGAGCGUUGUCCGGAAUUAUUGGGCGUAAAGAGCUCGUAGGCGGUGUGUCGCGUCGGCCGUGAAAACCUGCAGCUUAACUGUGGGCUUGCGGUCGAUACGGGCAUCACUGGAGUUCGGCAGGGGAGACUGGAAUUCCUGGUGUAGCGGUGAAAUGCGGCAGAUAUCAGGGAGGAACACCGGUGGCGAAGCGGCUCUCUGGAACGCAAC